CACGUAGGGGCCAAGCGUUGUCCGGAUUUAUUGGGCGUAAAGGGCUCGUAGGCGGUUUGUCGCGUCGGGAGUGAAAACACGGGGCUUAACCCCGUGCCUGCUUCCGAUACGGGCAGACUAGAGGUAUGCAGGGGAGAACGGAAUUCCUGGUGUAGCGGUGAAAUGCGCAGAUAUCAGGAGGAACACCGGUGGCGAAGGCGGUUCUCUGGGCAUUACCUGACGCUGAGGAGCGAAAGUGUGGGGAGCGAACAGG
rnacentral:rRNA from 1 species